GGGUAUUCUGGCCAGCCCAGAGUCAUCAGAUGCCAGGCUGCCUUUGACCUGUUCUCCACACCAUCCCUGGCAGAGCAGGGCCCUGCCUGCAUACCUUUCUUCGUUUGCUCUACAUCAGGCAGACAGCAGAAAGGACUUCCGGUCCAGAUCAGGAGGCUCAUGAAUCUAAUUCUCUGUGGGCUGUCAGGAAGAGAGUCACACACAUCUGUGCUGGAUGACAGGUUGACCAGGGAAGAGUCAGGGGCAUAACCAUAAUGACCUUUCCUAACCUUGUCAAAGUGGCCCAGGUCUACUUGCUCCUAGGUUCCCAUCAAUGGCUCAAGCACCAUUAAGUAUCUUAGAAUAAAAAUCUGACUUCGAAAUCAAUUGAUGGAGAAAGGUUCCUCAAACAUUUCCCAUAGAAAGUAAUUAAAUUCCAAUAGGUGAAGAUGGAGCGGCUGGUGACGUGCGGUGCCCCCCGCCCCCGCACCCACCCCCACCCCAUCCCCCGCACUGGCGCCGGGCUGCUGAGCAAUGAAAUCACGGGCGUGCGCAGCCCAGAGCUGGCAGCCGCACAAAGGAAAUGGGAACAGUCAAAUAUCUCCCUCCUCGUUGAGUUCCAUUUACAUGUUUAUAAUAGAGGUUCUUAAGGCCCUAAUGAGAAGGCUGCUCAUCGCAGGGAAGAGGAUGAUUAAGGUUCUGCCAGACGAGAUCGGGGACGGGAACAAAGGACUGUUAAUUACUACAGAGGGACGGACAAGGGAGAGUCAGGCCCAGGCUGGUGCCGCUCUGCUCUGCUCUGCUUUCCCAACAUCUCCUCUGUCCCCUGCGCAGGUGACUUCUGAGGAGUGGGUGGGGCAGCUCUGGGGGUUACAGGCUCUGUCUCUGGGGACACAUUCAAAGACUUUCCCAAGGAGUAUUUCAGGUUAGACCGUGGCGCAUGCUGUUGUGUAAUCCAGGAGCAAGGGAGCAGAAGACACCACACUGCUUGCUUGGCCACUGGGUAGGCCACUCAAAGGCAACUCGCUUGAACUUUGGGCCCAAGAAAGGGACAUCACCCAAGACAGAUGAAAAAAUCUCUGCCCAGGCUGGAGGAUGCCUGAGAGACUUAGAUCCAGGUCAGAACUGGUGGCUACCCAUGUCUCCUGAUGCCAAAGUGAGGCCUUGUUAACAACUAGAGUUCAUGGUAUGUGGGAGAAUGACAGAUGUACUGUCAUGUUCUAAGACCUUUAUCAUAUUACUAAACAUCUACUAUGUU